GCACCCGUCGUUCAACGGAUAGGACGCUGGCCUGCGAAGCCGGAAAUGCAGGUUCGAUUCCUGCCGAGUGCA
rnacentral:tRNA from 1 species